AUGGAUCUGAGAACGCUGUCUGGGCUUGGUGCCAAGUGCUGGUAUUUCACAGCAGCGACCGCCUCACAGACGGGCUGUGGGAAGCAGGAGGGAGACUCUCUUAGGGUGCCACUACUAUGGAGACACAGCUGGGCUGAACAAGAUUUGCUUCAAACGACAACAAGAGAGACAGAAAGUAUCUGGUUCAACCGCUGCCCAAGCAGGCAGGCACCAGAAGAGCUAGCAGCCAAUCCGGCCAUGCUCGAAGCCAGCUCUGCAGCUCAGCCAAUCAGUGACAUCACUGCAUCAAGAUCUUUUCCAGUGAAUCAGUUCUUCCCAUCAGGUGGCCAAAGUAUUGGAGCUUCAGCUUCAGCAUCAGUCCUUCCAAUGAGUAUUCACAUACAAUACAAAACAAGCUAUUUUAAUGUGAAAUAACUGUCCUUUUAUCAGCUUCAAAGAUUUCAGAGCCAUUAUUAUAACAGCCCUACAUAUUAUUUGGAGGGUGGCCUUGAGCUAGGAGCUAGAAAGCCUGAGUUACGGUCAUGAAUCUGGCAUGCACUCCUUAUAUUAUCUUUGGCAUCACGUCUUCUGGAAGAGAUCAUUAGUUCUCAUCAAAUAUCCAUGUGCUCACCAACAUUUUCUGGCAUCCCCUGUGCUGAGGUUGGAGUCAUGUCCCAGGGAUGAUUGUCACUUCCAAUCUGAGGGAGUUAAGUUAACCUGGAUAAGUCUUCAAUGAUCUAUGUCUGCAAAGCAGUAAAAAAAAAAAAAAAAAAAGGAGUCCAAAUGGGACAGCUGCAAGAUGGAAGCAAAGAGAUCUCUGAGUUGUAAAAGCAGAAAAAAGCCACUUGCUCUUUAUGACAUGAGCAAGGAGUAAAUCUUUGUUGUGUCAAGCCACUCCAAACUGGGAGUCAUUUGUUACCAUAGCACAGCUUCCCCUCUGCUGAUUAGUAUCUCUCUGGGAGUCAUUGAAAACAGAGGGGUUUGGAGAUUUCUAGACUCAAUCUGUCCCAGAUUGAAUUCUUGAGAUUCUUUUGGGACAUAUGGCCUUCAUUUUACAAGAGAAGGAAUGGAGAAGUUUGGAGAGAACUGACUAAGGUCACAAAGUAAGUUUGGGGCUGUAUUGCAAAAUGUAUUUCUCUGAAAUCCUGUGGAUUCAUAUUUCCCAGCUAUAUUUCCCCACUACCUGUAGCUUAACUAUGGGACCAUUCAAAUCGGU
rnacentral:lncRNA from 1 species